rnacentral:rRNA from 1 species
GGAGGUCCUGCCUGCCCAGUGACAACUAGUUAAACGGCCGCGGUAUUUUGACCGUGCUAAGGUAGCGCAAUCACUUGUCCUUUAAAUGAGGACCUGUAUGAAUGGCGGAACGAGGGCUUAACUGUCUCCUUUUUCCAGUCAAUGAAAUUGAUCUGCCCGUGCAGAAGCGGGCAUACUAAUACAAGACGAGAAGACCCUUUGGAGCUUAAGACACCAGGCCAACUAUGUCAAAGACCCAAAUUUAUUUUAAACCCAAGCCAAACAAACAGCUAACUGGCCACUGUCUUCGGUUGGGGCGACCACGGGGGAAAGCAAAGCCCCCAAGUAGAAUGGGGACCACACCCUAAAACUAAGAGGGACACCUCUAAGCCACAGAACAUCUGACUAAAAAGAUCCGGCCAAUUUAAGCCGAUCAACGAACCAAGUUACCCUAGGGAUAACAGCGCAAUCCCCUCCAAGAGUCCAUAUCGACGAGGGGGUUUACGACCUCGAUGUUGGAUCAGGACAUCCUAAUGGUGCAGCCGCUAUUAAGGA